rnacentral:tRNA from 1 species
UAACCCGUAUCUUAAGGGUAAAGAGAUCGAUUGAUAAUCGAUAUAUACAAGUUCGAGUCUUGUCGGGUUAA